rnacentral:rRNA from 1 species
CACGUAGGGUGCGAGCGUUGUCCGGAAUUAUUGGGCGUAAAGAGCUCGUAGGCGGUGUGUCGCGUCGGCCGUGAAAACCUGCAGCUUAACUGUGGGCUUGCGGUCGAUACGGGCAUCACUGGAGUUCGGCAGGGGAGACUGGAAUUCCUGGUGUAGCGGUGAAAUGCGCAGAUAUCAGGAGGGAACACCGGUGGGCGGAAGGCGGGUCUCUGG